rnacentral:rRNA from 1 species
CAGCGCCACGAGUGGUAACCACGUUUAUUGGGCCUAAAGCGUCCGUAGCCGGUUUGAUAAAUCUUUUGUGAAAUUGUACAGCUUAACUGUACAGCGUGCAAGAGACACUGUCAAACUUGAGACCGGGAGGAGUCAGAAGUAUUCCAGAGGGAGCGGUAAAAAGUUAUAAUCUCUGGAGGACUACCUGUGGCGAGGGCGUCUGACCAGAACGGAUCUGACGGUGAGGGACGAAAGCCAGGGGAGCGAACCGGAUUAGAUACCCGAGUAGUCC